rnacentral:rRNA from 1 species
CAGGAUUCCAUUAGUAACGGCGAGUGAACAUGGAUUAGCCCAGCACCGAAGCCUAUUGGCGUCUGUCAACAAGGCAAUGUGGUGUUUAGGUGUCUGCCUGGGGUGGUCAGUCUAUCCGAAGUCCAGCAUAGAUUAUGGCUCUGGAAUCGGUCCAUAGCGGGUGAAAGACCCGUACGGAUAGACAUUUGGCUUGUUGACCGCCCUCAGAUGCAUUCACCUUGGAGUCGGAUAGCUUGAGAAUGCUGUCCUAAGUGGGUGGUAAACUCCAUCCAAGGCUAAAUACUGGCACGAACCCGAUAGCUAACAAGUACCGUGAGGGAAAGUUGAAAAGCACUCUGAAGAGAGAGUAAACAGUACGUGAAACCGCCUGUAGAGAAGCUGGUGGAGUCAAGCUGCAUGCCCUUGGAAUUAAGCCAGUGUUUGUUGUGGAAUUGUGGAGCUGGCUGGUCGGAGGUCUUGUCAAGAGGCCAAGGUAUCUGAUACCUUUCCCUAGCGUACUGGUUGGUGCGUGGGGGCUGACCGGUCGAAGUUCCGUACACUGGUGCACUUUCCUUGUGGCAGACAUCACGAUCGAAGUGGCCUCCGGCAUGUGCUAGUCAAACCAGCAGAGUGUGGGUCUCGUAUCCGCGCCUGUUGGGAAGGCAGGUGGCUCGUCUGUUGGGUUCGCUCAGCUUACGAGUUUUUUGUGGUUAUGGCCGGCCGACUAGCACCUCGUAACACAUUCAGCCGUGAGAGCUCUUCGUUGCUCAUGAACCAGUCCAUGUCGUUGCGGUAGUGUGUCUCUCUGGUAUGUGGCCGUGUCUGUUCAUUCAGUGCGGUCGUGUGCUAGUGGGGUGCGCUGCUUGCGAUUGCUUGGCUUGUAUGAAUCGUGGUGUUGUGG